UCCGAACAUAAGUGUGUAAGACAGAUGAAUAGCUCUACUAGAAUCUAUGGGUGGUGGUGCAUGGGCCGUUCCUAAUUCGUGGAGUGAUUUGUCUGGCUAAUUCCGAUAACGAACGAGACUCUAAUAUAUUAAAUAGAUAUCUUCAGGAUUAUGGUGUUGAAGCUUAUAUAGCCUUCAUUCAUAGUGGCAGUAAAAUGUUUAUUGUGUUUGAAUGUGUUUAUAUAAGUGGAGCCGUACCUGUUGGUUUGUCCCAUUAUAAGGACACUAGCUUCUUAAAUGGACAAAUUGCGUCUAGCAAUAAUGAGAUUGAGCAAUAACAGGUCUGUGGUGCCCUUAGAUGUCCUGGGCUGCACGCGCGCUACAAUGAAAGUAUCAACGUGUAUUUCCUAGACCGAGAGGUCCGGGUAAACCGCUGAACCACUUUCAUGCUUGGGAUUGUGAACUGAAACUGUUCACAUGAACUUGGAAUUCCCAGUAAGUGUGAGUCAUUAACUCGCAUUGAUUACGUCCCUGUCCUUUGAACACACCGCCCGUCGCUACUACCCAUUGAAUUAUUUAGUGAGGUCUCCGGACGUGAUCACUGUGACGCCUUGUGUGUUGCGGUUGUUUCGCAAAAGUUGACCGAACUUGAUUAUUUAGAGGAAGUAAAAGUCAUAACAAGGUUUCCGUAAGUGAACCUGCGGAAGGAUCAUUA
rnacentral:ncRNA from 1 species